GAUGAACGCUAGCUACAGGCUUAACACAUGCAAGUCGAGGGGUAACGAGAGGAAAGCUUGCUUUCCUUGUCGACGACCGGCGCACGGGUGAGUAACGCGUAUCCAACCUGCCCCCAACUAGGGAAUAACCUUGCGAAAGUAAGACUAAUACCCUAUAAUUUCCUCAGAUGUCAUCUGACGAGGAAUAAAGAUUUAUCGGUUGUGGAUGGGGAUGCGUCUGAUUAGCUUGUUGGCGGGGUAACGGCCCACCAAGGCAACGAUCAGUAGGGGUUCUGAGAGGAAGGUCCCCCACAUUGGAACUGAGACACGGUCCAUACUCCUACGGGAGGCAGCAGUGAGGAAUAUUGGUCAAUGGGCGGAAGCCUGAACCAGCCAAGUAGCGUGCAGGAUGACGGCCCUAUGGGUUGUAAACUGCUUUUAUACAGGAAUAAAGUUAGCCACGUGUGGUUAUUUGUAGGUACUGUAUGAAUAAGGACCGGCUAAUUCCGUGCCAACAGCAGCCGCCG
rnacentral:rRNA from 1 species